rnacentral:rRNA from 1 species
AUUGAACGCUGGCGGAAUGCUUUACACAUGCAAGUCGAACGGCAGCACGGACUUCGGUCUGGUGGCGAGUGGCGAACGGGUGAGUAAUACAUCGGAACGUGCCCAGUCGUGGGGGAUAACGUAGCGAAAGCUACGCUAAUACCGCAUACGAUCUAAGAAUGAAAGCGGGGGAUCGCAAGACCUCGCGCGAUUGGAGCGGCCGAUGGCAGAUUAGGUAGUUGGUGGGGUAAAGGCCUACCAAGCCGACGAUCUGUAGCUGGUCUGAGAGGACGACCAGCCACACUGGGACUGAGACACGGCCCAGACUCCUACGGGAGGCAGCAGUGGGGAAUUUUGGACAAUGGGCGCAAGCCUGAUCCAGCCAUUCCGCGUGCAGGAUGAAGGCCCUCGGGUUGUAAACUGCUUUUGUACGGAACGAAAAGGCUCUGGUUAAUACCCGGGGCUCAUGACGGUACCGUAAGAAUAAGCACCGGCUAACUACGUGCCAACAGCCGCCGUAA